rnacentral:sRNA from 1 species
AGUUUUUAAUUUCACCGAACGGGAUUAGAUGGUAGGACGGGUUUAUAAUAUUUAUAAUA